GGAUCUCUCCAGAGAGACCAAUCCACUUCGAGUGUAACUAAACGAGCCAAUGGACAUUGGCAUGCGAUCACUGCAUCCAGCUGCCGCCGAUCACAGCGUGAGUAUAAGAGGCAGCAGGUGCACCGCAUUAACUCACGCGACUGUGGCGACGGGACGUGACGUCUCCGUUCCCUCCUUCAGGGAACGAGGGUUACAUACGUAACCGAGACGUUCCCUUUCAGUUGGUCACUCCGAGUCACGUCGGAUGACAGACGAAUUAGGAUCCCUACCAAAGCGCCACAGGAGCUGCCCCUUCCAGUGCCCUGUGUAGGCCUCCUGAUCCUUCCUAUAAGGCAGAUGAUAGGACCGGGCUCUACACAGAGAGGGUCAACUACUGUUGUUCCUUGGGCAACCCAGACAGUAGGACUUGGAUAACACUGGGAAGCGUGCCCUUCCGUUUGGAAGAGGCACACUGCGGAGUCACCUCCUCCCAGAGGGGGUUAAGUGGCAUUUAGACAUGUGAAGUAACCCCGUAGGGCCCUAUUGCACAUGGAAGUCUCUGAGAUGGCUUAGGCUGCAUCAUUAGAGAUGGCAGGACGUGGUCUGCCAGGGGAAACACGGCUCUAAUAAGCAUACCGUGGAAUACACAUAUGGGAUCCCGGCAGGGUCUCUCAUGUGGGAACUAGCCUCACAUCAGAUUUCAAGAAUUCAUUGGCUGAAAGGCCUGGCGCCGGACACUCCGCCACGUCCGGACGCCGGAGUGCUGGAGGACUCGACAGGGUUUGCCUGGUUAAGGAACUCUCUGGAGAAUUAGGCGUAAGAACGCCGCAAGCCGACUCUGAGCCGGGCCUCUCAGUGCCACUACCUGUUUGAGGUGAGAACACAGGAGGAAACCGGUUCGACACGUAGGUUAUAAAACCUAGCGAACGUGUUAGGAGUCGCCCAACCCGCAGCUCUACAGAUGUCUGCUAGUGAGAAAAGAAAAUAAACUGCUGCUGCUGUUUCCCUGAUCAAUAUAUGAUCCAGAUUUUUAAUAACAUUAGUUUGAUGCAUUUAAGUGAUGAAUAUAAUUGUCUGGGCUGGUCAUGUAUUAUUAAUUAUAUACAUAACAUUAUUAAUUUAGAAGGAGCACCAGCUACAUCUGAACAUGCAUGUAUAUGCUUUAUCAGCUGUGCUGGGUUUGUAAAUGUGAGUGUGUAAGGCAGUAAAUGUAAUAAAAGAUACAAAAGCUAUAUGCAGAUAAUGCCAAAAAACAAAAAAAAACAAAAUACAAAUCUGUGGAAGGCUUUAUUGUUCAGCAAAGUCUGAACAUUAAUUAUGUGUCAGCAGCCUGUUUAAUUAAUCAUUAAUUUUGAUGACAUUCUUUACCAUUUAACAGAGUCUACAUCUAAUUAGACAGAAAUUCUCUUUCACUUUACUUGAACCAUUUUUACUAUAAUGACUGUCUACUGUUGUCCUCUUUUUAGAGCUGCUUCACAGCAGAACUGAAUUCUGUUUGCAUCACUGAAACACCAUUGUCUUGUUUAUCACUGUAAAGCUGCUCUGAAACAAUCUGUAUUGUACAAAGUGCUAUAGUAUAGAGUAAAUAGUAUAUAGAAAUACAGGUAAAAAAAUAAAAAAUAAAUAAAAAACAAUCAUAAAAUAAGAACAGAUCAUUUCACAUAUAUAAUUCAGGAAAUGAAGCAAAUUAAACUGUUCUGGCUGUGGCUAUAUAGUUCAAUUGCUAUUAAAGUGCCUUGAACAAACUCUGAUUAUCUUUCAUAGAUUUGAUGUCAUUAACUUAACAAACUUUACAGCACCCUAAUCCAGUGAUUAUUUCUUCUUCAAAAGCACUUGAUGAUGGUUUUCUCAGAAGGGCUAAUAAAAACACCUGUGUGCCCUUACUUACUACCUCAAGAGACUAGAAACUGUGAUCCAGUGUUGUGUGUGAUAUGUGUCAGACAGUGUGAGGAGGAGACCUCAGUUCUCUCACUGCUGUACAUUCAUUGAACACUGUUAGACAUUUCUGUAAUUUCCACAGUUAUUUACUGUAUAUCACCCAGUAUAAUACUGCAAAUUCCCUUUACAGUAAACAACUGUAAUACCCUUUGCAUCAUGGGAAUUUUCUGUGACGUCAGACCCCACAUACAGAGACUUACUGUAUUUUUUUAAAUUGCUGUAUACUACUGUAACGGUCUCUUUGGCGCCAUUAUACUGAGGUCGUUUUAUUUUCCUCAUUUCUUGCAUUUGGAUUGACACAAUUUGCCCUGCACUGUGUCUACAACGCCGCAACAGCUUGGGACUGAAUACUGGAUGUGUUACAUCGCUUCUAAUGAUUGGAAAAUCUGUUUGUACUUCUGUCAGAAACAGCGCGAGCGCUUGGAGUGCAUCUGUACAUCAGAAAUAUACCGGGGCAUCAGUUUACUGUCCGCAUCCACUGUAGAUAAUAUAAUGGGUUCUAUAUUGUUGUCUGUUAUCGAGUCGCGCCGCACCGCGCCACUCGCGUCCGAGGAAGACACGGAAGCAGCGGGGCAGCGCCGCAGGUUUUUUCCGGGGAUGAACCCGCGAGAGUGAAGAGCUCCGGAGAACAUCGAUGCACCUUACGAGAUAAUAAGACCAGCAAGCAAGGCAACUGCAAUGAAGCAUCAAGAAAGACAUGAGCAGGCCAGCCACCCUGAGACUGAUAAUUCAUGAGAAGACAUUUCUGUCAAAGUGGACCGUGAGCAAAGAUGGUGGCCACGUUUUGGAGCAGCACCUGGGUUUUGCUGAUGGUUAUGUAUUCUUUGGCUGUUUGUCUUUUUUCCCCAUUAUGUUUCUGUUGCCUAAAUAUUCUUUGUGAGGAUGAAUCCAGAGGACACAGCAUAAUGCACUGCAAAACGUGCUAAGACAGGAGAAAUGGUGAAGAUGCGCUGUUCCAGCAUUGGAAGUCUGUAUUUUUAAGUGUUAUACAUGCAAUGUUUUAAAUAAAGAAUUUUAUAUUUAGUAAUUAUUGUGUCUGUUUUAAUUGAA